CGGAGGAAAAGAAAAUAACCAUGAUUCCCUCAGUAACGGCGAGUGAAGCGGGAAAAGCUCAAAUUUGAAAUCUGUCAACAUUUCUUUUGUUGUCCGAGUUGUAAUUUCAAGAAGCUGCUUUGAGUGUAGACGAUCGGUCUAAGUUCCUUGGAACAGGACGUCAGAGAGGGUGAGAACCCCGUCUUUGGUCGAUUGGAUAUGCCAUAUAAAGCGCUUUCGAAGAGUCGAGUUGUUUGGGAAUGCAGCUCUAAAUGGGUGGUAAAUUUCAUCUAAAGCUAAAUAUUGGCGAGAGACCGAUAGCGAACAAGUAGAGUGAUCGAAAGAUGAAAAGAACUUUGAAAAGAGAGUUAAAUAGUACGUGAAAUUGCUGAAAGGGAAGCAUUGGAAAUCAGUCUUACCUGGGUGAGAUCAGUAGUCUCUUCGCGAGACUAUGCACUCUGAACCUGUGGUAGGUCAGCAUCAGUUUUCGGGGGCGGAAAAAGAAUAAGGGAAGGUGGCUUUCCGGGUUCUGCCUGGGGAGUGUUUAUAGCCCUUGUUGUAAUACGUCCACUGGGGACUGAGGACUGCGGCUUCGUGCCAAGGAUGCUGACAUAAUGGUUUUCAAUGGCCCGUCUUG
rnacentral:rRNA from 1 species